AUCUGAGAACCUGAGCCUAGUUGAAGACAUGGAUGGAGGAUUGUGAUAAGGCUUCGGGCCUAGCUUAACCCAUGGUUAGGUGGCUCUAAAUGCACGUAGGAGCGGUAUGCAGUUACUAUGAUAGGUGCUAAGUCAGCGUGAGCUCCGUUUGGCCGCAUGUUUUCCUUGUGGAUAUGGAGCACGUGUGAGCUAUUCUUGGGUCGUAUACUUAGUAUGCUAUCAUGGUUGGUUGGAUUGGUUGAGGGUUGCUAUAAUGGUGGGUACUAAGGAUGCGUGAGCUAGUUUUGGCUGCAUGAUUCUUAACAUGUGCGAGCUAUCUUUGGCUGUAUCUUUAGAUGCCUUGCCAUGGUUGUACGGAUUACAGGUAGUGAACAAAGGCCAAGCGUUGAUUGAUCUCUCGUUAUCAGUCGUAGAUCUCCAUUAUUAAUUGAACCAUGCCUCAAGGUAGACCUCGAAAGCACCCUGAUGCAGAAGCUAGUAACACUGCUAGAGAAGCAGCGAUGGGAAGUGGGGAGUCUGAUGUCGAAUCUAGUCGCCCUCAUGGUAUGCCUUGAUUCUUAUAAAAUCGUGUUUCAAGCUUUUAGUUUAUACUUGGUUUUGAAUUAUACUAAACCGAUGCUUAUGGUAAAUGUUGGUGAUUACCCUAAAGGCUACGUGAAUGUGUUUCCGUAGCGCCACCCAUGGUUGUCAGGGGAUUCCAGGACUGAAAGAGGCCGUGACUGGAGAUCCGAGAACCUGAGCCUAGGUGAGGACAUUGAUGGAGGAUUGUUAUAUGGCUUCAGUCCUAGCUUAACCCCUGGUUAGGUGGCUUUAUGUGCACAUAGGAGCGGUAUGUAGUUACUAUGGUAGGUGCUAAGUGUGUGUGAACUCUGUUUGGCCGCGUGUUUUCUUUGUGGAUAUGGAGCACGUGUGAGCUAUUCCCGGGUCAUAUACUUAGUAUGCUAUCAUGGUUGUUUGGAUUGGUUGACGGUUGCUAUCAUAGUGGGCACUAAGGAUGCGUGAGCUAGUUUUGGCCGCAUGAUUCUUUAUCAUGUGUGGGCUAUCUUUGGCCGUAUCUUUAGAUGCCUUGCCAUGGUUGUACGGAUUACAGGUUUGUUGGUGGUACAAUGGUUAUGAGUU